rnacentral:sRNA from 1 species
GGCAGGCUUCCCUUUAUACCUGCACUGACUUUUUUCUCCUUUUGGAGGGAGAGCAGAGACCAUGUCUGACAUAGAAGAGGUGGUGGAAGAGUACGAGGAGGAGUGAGUAUCUGGAGCAUCUUGCCUGAGUGGGGUCCUCUCCCCCCGCUGCCCUGACACCUGGUCCAGGAGCCUCCCAGCUGUCCCUAGGAUUCUGGGGAGCAGGAAGGUAAGCGUAAACGUGUGUACUCAUUUGGAUCAAAGACAGCCUGGUUCGAAACUGACCCACCUCUUCUCUCUUCUCUUGCUGCCUGGACUUCUCUUCUGAGCAGAAGCAGCUGUUGAAGAGCAGGAGGAGGCAGCGGAAGAGGAUGCUGAAGCAGAGGCUGAGAUCGAGGAGACCAGGGCAGAAGAUGAAGAAGAAGAGGAAGCAAAGGAGGCUGAAGAUGGCCCAAUGGAGGAGUCCAAACCAAAGCCCAGGUCGUUCAUGCCCAACUUGGUGCCUCCCAAGAUCCCCGAUGGAGAGAGAGUGGACUUUGAUGACAUCCACCGGAAGCGCAUGGAGAAGGACCUGAAUGAGUUGCAGGCGCUGAUCGAGGCUCACUUUGAGAACAGGAAGAAAGAGGAGGAGGAGCUCGUUUCUCUCAAAGACAGGAUCGAGAGACGCCGGGCAGAGCGGGCCGAGCAGCAGCGCAUCCGGAAUGAGCGGGAGAAGGAGCGGCAGAACCGCCUGGCUGAAGAGAGGGCUCGACGAGAGGAGGAGGAGAACAGGAGGAAGGCUGAGGAUGAGGCCCGGAAGAAGAAGGCUUUGUCC